rnacentral:rRNA from 1 species
UACGGAAGGUGCAAGCGUUAAUCGGAAUUACUGGGCGUAAAGCGUGCGCAGGCGGCUUUGCAAGACAGAUGUGAAAUCCCCGGGCUCAACCUGGGAACUGCAUUUGUGACUGCAUAGCUAGAGUACGGUAGAGGGGGAUGGAAUUCCGCGUGUAGCAGUGAAAUGCGUAGAUAUGCGGAGGAACACCGAUGGCGAAGGCAAUCCCC